AUGACUUUGAUCCCCAUCUUCAUCUGCACACUGGCCCUCUGGACUCAAGGUUCUAGAGGUCAGGUGACUGUGACUCAGACUCCUGCAGUGAAAUCUGCUCUUCCAGGAGACACAGUCACCAUCAGCUGUAGAAUCAGUCCUGCACCCACAGACUGUUCCCCACCUUGUGUAUCCUGGUACCUGCAGAAAAUUGGAGAAACUCAUAAACCCCUGAUCCACUGGACUAACAGGAGAGCAUCAGGUAUUCCAGAUCAUUUCAGUGGUAGUGGAUCUGGAUCUGACUUCACUUUGACCAUCAGUGGAGUCCAGACUGAAGAUACAGGAGAUUACUACUGUCAGAGUGCACAUGAGAUCACUCUGUGGGGGACUUUGGGUGGCGGAACAAAACUAUCAGUUGGACGUGACGCCCCGCCCACCCUCACGGUCCUGCCCCCCUCCACUGUACAGCUGCAGCAGGAGAAGGUCACACUCGUGUGUCUGGCCAACAAGGGCUUCCCCUCAGACUGGAAGCUGAGCUGGAAGGUAGCUGGUAGCAGCUGGAGCUCGGGGGUGAGCCAGAGCUCCGGGCUACUGCAGAAGGACGGCCUCUACAGCUGGAGCAGCACCCUGACCCUCCAGAAGGAGGAGUGGCUGAAGAAGACAGUGACCUGUGAGGCCACCAAGGACUCCCAGUCUCCUGUCACACAGACACUGAGUAGAGAGCAGUGUGCUGAGGCGUGA